rnacentral:rRNA from 1 species
GAACGCGAAGAACCUUACCAAAUCUUGACAUACUCUUGAAUAGCUUUGUAAUGAAGCUAGACCUUCGGGACAAGGGAUACAGGUGGUGCAUGGUUGUCGUCAGCUCGUGUCGUGAGAUGUUGGGUUAAGUCCCGCAACGAGCGCAACCCUUGUCGUCAGUAGCCAGCAGUAAGAUGGGCACUCUGACGAGACAGCCGGAGAUAAUCCGGAGGAAGGUGGGGAUGACGUCAAAUCAUCAUGCCCCUUAUGAUUUGGGCUACACACGUGCUACAAUGGCGUAGACAAAGUGAAGCAAAGCCGCGAGGCCAAGCAAAUCACAAAAAUAACGUCUCAGUUCGGAUUGUAGUCUGCAACUCGCCUACGUGAAGUCGGAAUCGCUAGUAAUCGCAGGUCAGCAUACUGCGGUGAAUACGUUCCCGGGUCUUGUACACACC